GUACAGUUGUAGUCGUAGUUGACAUUACGAAAAAUUGAUGUUAUUCAGCUUCCGUCAUCCAAGAUAAAAAGCUAAAGACUUGCGCUGAGAUCACGAAAAUUUGACCAUAUUUUUAACCAUCAAAACUGGUUUCCAUUUACAAAUGGUCAAAUUUUUCUUGUCCCAAUUUGAAUAUCACCUUUUAAAUCAAACAUUAAUCACUUUAAUCCCAUCUUGAGUUUAAAACAAUGAAGCAUUUGAUGUUCACUGUGUCAUUUGAUAACUAAAUUGUUAAAAUUGAGGUCUCCAAGUGGUUUCUAGGUUCAGUUGGACAGUCUCGAAGUUUGUUUCCUUUUUGGUUGCCCAACAAACCCAACCUGGGAGAUUGUGUCUCAUUUGCAUUCAAGUAUAAAUUUGAUAAAAUUGAUACAUUUAUUGAUACAUAAAUUGUACAUUUAAGUCAUUUGGUUAUUCAAGAUUUAAUGAAAUUAGGUUUAACCAACUUUCAAUACAAAAGACACUAUAACACAACAUGCUUUAUACCAGGAAAAAAAAGUAAAGGUGUUCAUUUUGAAUCGUCUAAUGGGUUUACUUCAAGUUAUAAUGUAAUCUCAGGUUUCUUUAUCAACAAAAAGCAAGUAAAGUUGAAAACGUCUUGAGCUUUUACCUUUCAAGCUUCACAUGACUGAAAGAUGAAAACAAAAUUUACCUUUACUAAACAACAAAAGGCCUUUUUCCUUUACUCUUUCAAUAAUAAAUAAAUUUUUACUACACACAACCUUACCUUUGAGCAAAGUAGCCGGAAAUUUUGUACAAUCAAAUCGGUAAAACAAUCAAUCAAUAGGAAGAAAGAAGCAAUGAUAAAAUGAAAAUUAGUAAAUUUUUAAGAACCAAAUUGAUUCCAUAAACCAUGGCGAAAGAUGAAACAACACGAUCAUUUUACAUUAACAGUUUGAAUAGUAAAAAUGUAAAUACACUUUAAUUAUGUCUAAAGUGUAUUAAGCGUUUUAAUUAAAUGGUUAAAAUUGAAGUGACUUUGAAUAAAGACAAUCUGGUAACAAUCAGAAAACUCUGAGGAACCAUUUAAAGUAAAUGAUGACAAUUUUUGAUGUUGCUUUCCUUUCCAGCCGUUUUAAAUUACGUUACGGAUGAAUGUUACUUUUACUUAUUCAAUCUUCCCACCCUCUUCCUCCUCCAUCAACAUCACCAUCACCAUAACCAUCAACAUCGCCAUCAACAUCACCAUCAGCAUCGCUAAUAGUAUCAGCAGCUUUUUCAUUCAAAAAAACAACUAUCAACAUGAAAAAACAGUCUUUGCACAUUGACAUACAACAAUAACCCAAAGUCUGUACAUUUUCAUCUUGAUUAAUAUCACCAUCUCUGUUAUUCAACUGCCGUUAAAAUUAAUAAUUUAGAUUGAUAUCAGUUGAUUGUGCUCUAUGUAAGUCUGUUGAAGGUACUGGUGAAGCCAUUUUGUCGCUCUUUUUUCUGCUCCUAACUUCAAGGUGGAAAGUUGAGUCCUCGUUGUGUUGUUACCUUCCUUUUGUGUUCAUCUUUGUCCUGCUCCUUUGCUUUGUUAAGUCCUGGUCUUUGGUUCACAUAUGUUUACAAGCUUUUGGGUUGCGGUCCAAUGGUAACCAAAAUUUUACUCAAAACUUAUGAGUCUGUUGGGGAAGGAACAGAAAAUAAUUAUUUGUAUUCAUUAGAUUUUUACUUUUCUUUCUUCCUUUCUUACUAGACAUGUAAAAUAUAAAUUGUUGUUUAAUUGUUACGCCUGAUCACCUUAUCAUUCAAUCAACAGUUUAUAUCAUCUUUCCGGAAUGUUUGACGCUGUUUGAUAGUAACUUUGAGAUGAAUAAAUUAAUGUUAGAUUAGAAAAGUAAAACACGUAAAAAUGUUUAAUACAAAACAUUGAUGUCGCUAAGAGACUGUUCAAUUAAUUGAGAAAUGAAGGUAAAAAUUAUUCGGUUAAAUAUUUGAACGCGAAGGUAAAUAAAUGCGAGACAAUCUUUUAAAUGUUUCUCUUCAUGCUAUGUUCAUCUUUUUUAUAAGCAAUUUUAUGUUUUUUUUGUGUUUCAUUUAUUCAUUACAUGUAUAAAUUGACCGACAAUUGUAUUAUUUUUUGUAAUUGAUUUUGUUUUAGUAAAAAAAGUGGACGAAGUUGUAGCAAAAGAGAUUGUGAUUUGUCAGAGAAGGGAAAAAAGAGGAGGCAGAUUGAGAGAGAGAAAGGGAUGAAAAGGAAGGAUGAAGAGGAUGAAGGAUGCUGGAUGACGAGGAUAGAGAUGGGAAAGAGAUAGACAACAAUUUUCUGCUUUUCUCGACUUAAAUUUAGUCUCUCGGCCUAACACACCAAAACAAAAAUGAGCUAAUUUUACUUGGUCGCAAAUAGAGACAGGAAUUCAAGAAAAAGAAUAGGAAAAGGGGCGAAAAAGGAGAGGGAGAGAAGAAAAGGUUGUGUUUUUUUUUCUGCGAAAAACCGGAUUUAGAAGUUUGUUAAGAAAGUUUAGAAAUGUUUUCUUCUACUUCUCGUAGGGUGGUUAUUCUUAGAGGGCUUGGCUCUAUUUUUCUCUUCCAGUCUUCUUCUUAAGAGGAAAAGAGAGAGAAGGGGAGAGAGAUGAUGGGAAGAUGAUGGGAAAGAAAAGUAUCGAAGAAAAAAAGAAAGAAAAAGAAAAAAAGAGAGUAAAGAACACAAAUAAGAGUGAGGAACCUGUAAGAGAAGAAAGAAAAGGCAAGGAAAGGAAAUGGCGGAUGGAGUGAGUAAAGAUGAUAAAGAAAGAGAAGAAAAACUGAAAAAAUUCUCACUACCAAAUAAAAUAGGUAAAAAUUGAAAAGGUGGAUAAAUUAAAGGUGACGAGCACUGUAUUAAUACAUUCCACUAACUUGAAAUUAAACAAAGAGAGUGGAUGAGGCAAGUGAAUUUGAGUGUUGUGUGUGUGUGUGUAAGGUUUUAAAGAAAAGGGACAACAAAAAAUACUAAAUUCAAAGUGUUUUUAAUAUUGAAAAAUGAAUUUAGAUAUUGAAAAACAGCUUUGAUUUUGGUUGAGUUCACCCUUGAUGGUGUCCGUUGGCAAUUAAAGAGGAGGUUAAAAGCAUAAGGAAAGUUUCUAUAAAUUAAUUGUAGAAGUAGUCAACGUCGUCUUCGGUAUACCUUGAUGAGGAUUAUUGAGUUGCAUUUAUAAUUGUUUUUUUUAUUGUUGCAAAAGGUGUGCUUGUUGUGUGUAUGCAUUGUAUACAUGAUUCGAGAUGCA